AAUCAAUCAAACAUUAGUUUGGUAUUGGAAGAAGUGGUUUUGCCUCUCUUCUUAAAGCUAUUGGCGGCACUAUUUCAGCUUGUAAAACGUAGUAAUUUAUUCCUCGUUGAAGCAAUUGAGUAGUUGUCUGCCAACUGAACGAUUUAUUUUAACA
rnacentral:misc_RNA from 1 species